rnacentral:lncRNA from 1 species
CUUUGAAAUUCCUUGUUGGGGCUUAUGGCUCAGUGGAGAUAUUUGAGCUUGUCAGCUUCCUCAUAACCCACGAUCCUUUGUUUCCACCACAGGCAUUCAGGAGCAUGCAUAGUCCCACGCCCAGAUAAAUGCCACUCGGCAACUUUCUGGCAGCAUUCGGUCACGUCAGAAAGGCAGAAGACGUCAGUAUUUCUGAAGAUCUGCCGUUGACACUCACUGGAGACCUGCUGGGGUGGAACUUAAGUGCCCAGACCACAGGGACUGGAAAGUUCAUGUUGAAACUGAAUCCCCACUGUACUGAGAGAAGGAACCUUCAUGAAGUGGCUAAGUCACAAGAGUGUCACACUCACGGGUGGAAACCCUAACUACAACAGAGCUGCAGGG